GACAGAGGGGGGCAAGCGUUGCUCGGAAUUACUGGGCGUAAAGGGCGCGUAGGCGGGAUGGCAAGUCGGUCGUGAAAUCCCUCGGCUCAACCGAGGAACGUCGAUCGAUACUGCUGUUCUUGAGGAUUGCAGAGGAGACUGGAAUUCCCGGUGUAGCGGUGAAAUGUGUAGAGAUCGGGAGGAACACCGGUGGCGAAGGCGGCUCACUGGACCGAUACUGACGCUGAGGCGCGAAAGCGUGGGGGAGCAAACAGG
rnacentral:rRNA from 1 species